UACGUAGGGGGCAAGCGUUGUCCGGAUUUAUUGGGCGUAAAGAGCGUGUAGGCGGCCAUACAGGUCAGCUGUGAAAACUCGAGGCUCAACCUCGAGACGUCGGUUGAAACCGUAUGGCUAGAGUCCGGAAGAGGAGAGUGGAAUUCCCGGUGUAGCGGUGAAAUGCGCAGAUAUCGGGGAAAGAACACCUAUGGCGAAGGCAGCUCUCUGGGACGG
rnacentral:rRNA from 1 species